UAGUUAAGUGGGCUAAGGGCUCGACUUGAAAUGCAAAGGUCCUCGGUUCGAUUCCC
rnacentral:tRNA from 1 species